rnacentral:lncRNA from 1 species
UGUGAUAAGUGGUAUUUAUACACACUUAUAGGCCUUCAUUUCCACUUAAAUUGAUUGGUUGUACUUAAGUGUUUAGUGUCUUUUGAUGUGUUUUUAGUGUUUUUCUGUGCAGGUCACGAGUUGAGGUGAUGAAGUGAUUUUCUAUCAUUUUAGGUUGUUUUUGGUGCAUUAUUUGCAAGAAUAGAGAAUUGUGGAUUCAUCAAGACUUGGGAUUUUGUGGGUACAUCUUCUACAAACCCUCACGAGAACACACUCGUCCACUAGAGCUAUCUAGGGGUUUAAAGGGCUUGUUGCAUGUGCUAAAUGCAACCGUGAUCACCUACGGAAGUGGUACUAGAGCGAGGAAGGGCAUGCACGCGAGAACGAGCUAAAAAACGAAGAAACGGGCUGCCAGUGGCAGACAGUAGCGCGCCCGCGCUAAAGCUUAGCGCGCCCGCGCUAGCUACUGUCCCCACUAGCGCGCCUGCGCUAGUUUAGCGCGGCCGCGCCCAGCAGAAGUGUCCCGGGCCGAUUUUUGAAGCUUUUCUGAUGGAUUUUAGCAGCGGUCGAGGCCCGGUUGACUUGGUCAAUGUACUUUAUUUUCUCAUGUGUAAAACCCUAGCCUCGAAGAAGUAGUUUUGUAUCGUAGAAUAUCGGAUUAUAGUUUUAUCAGUUUUUCUCUUGUAAUCAAGCACAUUAUCAGUUUUGUAUUGGAUCGUUCUUCGCGAGGAAGUGACAGUUUCGAGCGAGAUCGUGAACAUCAAAUCUGUAACGUUGUGUUCUUUAUUAUUAAUUCAAGUACUUUUAUUCCGUUUAAUUCUCGUAGUUUAUUUAUCAUGUUUUCAUUAGAACCCAUGAUGUCGAUUAGUUCGAUAAUGAACUAACCGCCUUCAUGGGAUUCUAAUGGAUUUAUCGAUGUAGUCUAGUAACGAAUAUUAAUUACUUGAUUUUGUGACGUAUGUUGAUUUCUUUGCAUGAGCCGUGCUUAUUCUUCUUAGGAGCGUAGCUAACUUCUAAGUUGUUUGUUAAUUCUUUCUGAAGCGAGAGUGGAUGAUUGAAUUUAGAACUAUGCCAUGCAAACAUAGGAUUAUGUGAAUGAAACAUAAUUUGUGGUAGACUUGAACUAUUUUUAUCACCCUGUGUAAUCACGAUAGAUGACUUGCUAUUAAACCUCUCUGCUUACACUACCGCUAUAGAGAUAUAGGGUCUGAGCUUUGUUGGUGUCCAUGAGAUUUCUGUCUUAAUUGCGGAUUUUGAUUGGUAUGAUAUGUGUGCAACGAGAGUUGGCAUGUAUUACUUUCGUGUUGUCUGAUUAGGAUCAACAGUCGCAUGUUAAUCAGUAAUUUCAAUUCUAGAUGAAUUCGAUAAUGAAGUUAGAAUCCCAUGUGUUUUCCUAUUCUGAAUUUGAUUAGUAAUUUUAAUUAUUAGUAUAAAAGAACCCAAUCCUUGUUAAUUGUCUUAGCAGUGAUAAUUGAUCAUACAUUGUUGCAUAGGUGCGUAUUCUUAAUUCACCAGUCUCUGUGGGAUCGAACUUAAUAUAUUACUUGUGAUCGCGUGCGCUUGCGUGUAGAUUUUUGCGAACACUAUUCCAAAUCAGAAGUUAAGACUAGGAAUACUAGAUUUAGACCAGAAAAUCCUUGUUUUCAUUGUGGUAGUUUAUGGCAUUCCAUCUAUACUUGUAAGGAAUACCAUAGUUUAUACUAUGAUUAUUAUGAAUUGAAACCUUCUUUGAAGAAAAAGAAUUGAUUCUCCUGGUUUAAAAUUUAGUUGAAAAAGUACUGUUAACACAAACUCUGAUAAAUCUUCCGCUGCCAAAGUCGAUACCUUUGCACUUCUAUCUUCCAUAGUUGAGGCAUAUUCGUCGAAAGCUACAGAGCCGACCUUGUAUCCGAUGAGUGUCGAUGAGAUGUCACAAGUUGCCCCUACAACAUACAGCUUCUGUCAAGUUUGUGGUGUUCAGGGUCACUAUAGUUAUGAAUGCUCUUAUAACCACUUCAACUCUCAGAAUACUCAGUCGGGACAUGGAUAUAAUUAUCAAGAAGGAUAUGAGUACAAUCAGUAUUCUAAUUCCUAUGAUCAAGAAUGGAUGGAUCAACCAGAUUUCUCUUACAUGGACAACAAUUUUGGUGAUUUCCCAUAUCAUGGUCAACAUCAAUUUCAAGAACAAAAAUUUCAGCAACAAUGUUAUGAAGAACCUCCAAUGCAACAAUAUGAUCAGUUUGAGCAACAGUAUUAUCAGCCUCAAUAUGAGCAACCACAAUCUCAACAGUAUCAAUAUCCUCAAGUACAAGAGCUACAGGUUCCUCAACCCACUGUAGAAGUGCUUUCUGAUCAAACAAAUGAGGUAUAUGAUAUGUUGGUAAACAUAAACAAGACGCUUAAGGAACUCAAAGCUACACAACUGAUGAUGGAGGCUCGACUUGAGCGGUUAGCUAGUUCUUUUACUGUCGAACAACCCGAUUCUUCUCCACUUAUAGCCACCCAAGUUGAAGAUGACAUAAAUGCUACCAUUCUUACAAAUGAUGGAGAUUGUGAUAGUUUUUCGACCUGGGAUGAUGAUGUGCCUAUUAAUAAAGAGGAAGAUCGUGUCGCUGACGGCAAAAUCGAUGAAGUUGUUGUUGUGGACCGUGUGGGCGAUGAUGAGGUGCGUGAAAAAAGCAAUAUCGAGUUGAUCGUAGUUUCUCCUACACCAGGUGUGCUUGAAUUACAUUUCCUGAAGGGGAUUAGCUCAAUCAAGGUUGCUCCAUGUUCUGAUAUUGAAAAUUUGGCUUUCAAUCCAACCUCUACCCCUAUACUUGAGAGUACAUGUUUUAAAGCUGACAUGAUGAUUGUCCAAGAUGAUCUUACACAAAAUCUGGUGGGUUAUCCAGUCCAAAAGGCUCUUACACUUCAACUCUUGGAAAAAGAGGAUAGCAAUUUCAUCUCUUUAUUCAGUGACAUGAAAGGCCAAGAAGUUCUUAUGACUCCUGUGAAAGUGAAGAGUUCUGAAAAACCACCACCCGAGCCUCCACCUUGUGUGAAAGUCGAAGGAGUUCGGUCCUUUAAUGGAUGUGAAUUUUUUCGUUGUUUUAUCACAAAGUUCUCUGAAAGUAUAAAUGUCGAUCAAUGGUUACUUCUUGAAGUGACAAUUAAGUUUACUAACGUUUGUUUGGAGACUUUCUGCAGGACAAAGACAAUAUUUGAUGCUCUUGAUUUUAUUUGUGGUGGCGAGAUUUUGUUUGAGAAAGUAGAUACCCCAUUUCUUAAACCUAAGCAAUAUCCUCCACCGGAUUCACCUCCGGCAGAGGAGGGGGAGGACUCCGAUUAGGUACGUGUUUGCUCUAGCCUUUUUAUCACUUUCAAUGGGGACAUUGAAAAUUUUAAGUUUGGGGGUGGUAAUCUAAGGAAGAGCAUAUUAUUAUAAUGUAGUUUAUUAUUGCAUGUGUUAGUUAGUUCAUGUAGUUCACGUUUAUUUUAUUUUGCUUUGAUUAUUUCUCACGUUUUUUUUAUUUUUCUCACGUUUUUUUCUAUUUUUCUCAAUUUUUUUUUAUUUUACAUGUUUAGUAGUAAUUGUAGUAGUUAGUAUCACGAGCAUUUGCAUGAAUUAUGAAGUUAAGCCAAGUUAAUUGCCUAUGAUGAGUUAUGUGCGUAGUUCUUGAUUAGUAGUUUCAAUUGCAAUGCUAGGUUAGUACUUGGAAAUUGCUUGUGUUGGAAAUUGUAAUUCACAUAUGUUCUUGAGAUAGGAUUUAGACGAAAUUCCAUGAAUUCUAGGAUUGAAUUGAACACCCUUCAGCUUAGGUCUGUAAAUCUUAAGUUUGGGGGAACUGAGGAGUAGAUAUACCUUUCUAAAAAGAAAAAUAUAGAAAAAGAAUAGAAAAAAAAAGAGUAGUAAAAUAAAAUUCACUAGAAAAAUAAGUGGUAGAAUUAACUAGGUUCAGCUCAUUAGUACUCGCGUGAUUAAGUCUGAGGGGACUUUGUGCCUAACAACCUAAAGCCCUUCGUGGUUUGGGAUUGUUGACCCAACGCUCGCUACAUGGGUACUAGUGCAUAAAUCUUUAGGGAUCUCAACCAUUGCACGGUUAAAUAAAACACUAGAAUAGAGUGAAAAAUUGGUGUGUGAAGUCUUGUGGUGUUCGUGACGCAUUUACACUGCGAAGCGCUCUGACCUUAGACCAAGCAAUUAAUCACCAAUAAAAAGAAAAAAAAAAUAUAGUGAAUAAAAUAGAAGGGUGUGGACAUUCUUUGGGACCUUGGCUUUUAGUUGGACUUGAGUGACGGGGUGUUAGUUUUAAACUUUUACGAUUCUUGAUUGGGAUUCUGUGGGAGUAGUAGUUUUUGUCUUGUCUCAAUAAAAGAGCAUGCUUGCACACACUGGCACUCCACACUUGUAAAUAGAAGAGUAAUUGACUUAGUAGCGAGAGAGAUGAAAUUCGAGAACAUUAGCACAAUCUGAGGUAUUAUAAUUGGCAAGGCAAUUACUUCAUAGUUCACUCAUUCAUCACGUAGUUGCAUUCAUGCAUUGCAUUGUAUUAUUGUAUAGUGUCGUUGACGCUUGAGGACAAGCAUCAGUUUAAGUUUGGGGGUGUGAUAAGUGGUAUUUAUACACACUUAUAGGCCUUCAUUUCCACUUAAAUUGGUUGGUUGUACUUAAGUGUUUAGUGUCUUUUGAUGUGUUUUUAGUGUUUUUCUGUGCAGGUCACGAGUUGAGGUGAUGAAGUGAUUUUCUAUCAUUUUAGGUUGUUUUUGGUGCAUUAUUUGCAAGAAUAGAGAAUUGUGGAUUCAUCACGACUUGGGAUUUUG